AUGCAGGAACUUGAUCAACAUACUCUUUAUUUUUUCUUAAAGAUUAAUGUUGAUGCCUCCUAUAGUGAACUUGAUCGUCACGGUGGAAAUGGACUAGGAAUUCAAGACCAUGCAGGAAAGCUGAUUCGGGCACAAGCGAUCUGGUAUGAAUUUCGAAUGUCUGCAAUGGCCAUGGAGGAAUUUGCUGUGCGUGAUGAAGUUCAGCUUGCAUCUGACCCGAGUUACAGAAGGGUUAUUACUGAAACUGAUGCCCUCUUAGUAGUUAACCAAUGGAAUACUCCAAGUGUGGAUCGCUCGAAGAUUGCUUCUUUUCUGAAGGAAACCCAAGAGCUUUGCUGGAAUUUCGGCUUGUGUUUGCGCCAAGAGAAGCUAAUGAGCUUGCACAUUUUUGUGCUAAACAAUGUAGCUCCUUAA
rnacentral:rRNA from 1 species